CUUAUUCUCUAAUCAAUUAUUUCAUACAGGUAUUUAAAACUCGGAUUCCUGAGUUUCCACUGUGAAGCUUUUGUUUCCUUUGUUUGGUGGGAAUCUUCCUAUUUACGCCUCUUAUACAAUUGAGUAAAUUUGGAGCUAAUUUGGAAAUGGGCAACUCUGGAUUUUGAUUAAAUUGUAUUGGAGAAAAUGGUGUUGGUUUUAGC
rnacentral:misc_RNA from 1 species